CUCAGACCUCUGCCAUAUGUAAACACCAGUAGAUGAGACAGGUCAUCACGAGACACCUGAAGAACAAGAUGCUUCCAAAGUAAAAUCUUUAAUAUGGAAUUCCUGGGAUGCUUUGUAUAUUGUUGUAUUUCACCUGAGGAAAAGGACUACAUGAAAAGGAUUACAAAUUUAACCCAAACUUACCAAAAAACAAACAAUAGUUCCUGUUUAAAGUCAACUGAAGAGUCAAGAGGGAUGUAUUCCAGCUUCACCAGUCAAGUCCAGUUCUUCAUCAAAGUUGUUGUUUCAUCUGUGUAUUUGCUGUGCUGAUAAAAAAUGUGUGUCUGCAGGUCACAGCUGUUAUUGGUGGUUCUGUUGUCCUGUCAUGUUCUUUAACUCUUGAUCAUGAUCUUAAACUCCAAGGCAUUGAUGUGAGCUGGAGACAUAAUGACAGCAAGAUUGUAUGUGACAUAAUUCCAUGCAGCACUUUGCCAGUGACACAGGACCCAGAGUAUGAGAACAGAGUUGAAACUUUCCCUCAGGAGUAUCUGAGAGGAAAUUUCUCCAUCAAACUCAACAAUCUUAAACACACUGAUGGAGGACAAUACAUCUGCUACAUCAAAAACGUAGAUGAACUUAAGACUGUAAAGCUGAUCAUUAAUGGAUCAGUAUCCACUGGACAGGAGAGACCGCUGCCAUCGCUGCAUUUGCUCUGGGUUUGCAUUAUAUUACCUGGCUUUAUAGUGGUUCUAUUUUCACUGUAGUUUUCUGAAGAGAAAUGUUGUAAAUGACAGACCUGUACUGUAGCUUUGCUUUCCUGCAGCAACUGCAUUAGCUUUUGUAUUAAACAUUGAGUCAGAAGCAUGAAGUAGGAUAUCUGUCUUCUCUCUUUCAUUCACUAUGAAAUUAAAAUAUUGUGAGGACGUAUAUGCACAUGUUCUAUGAUUAUCCACACAUUAGUAAACUUUGGGAUAAUGUGACAGAGUUAUUUCUAGGUAUGCUAAUAUUUGUUUGCUUAAUAAUAAUGCUGACCUUAAUUUGAAUGCUAAUCAGCGUAAGAUGUGUCAUACUGCACUAACUUCUAAUUUGUAAAACUUGGUAUAAA